rnacentral:rRNA from 1 species
UACACUCCUGCGGGAGGCAGCAGUGGGGAAUAUUGGACAAUGGGCGCAAGCCUGAUCCAGCCAUGCCGCGUGAGUGAUGAAGGCCCUAGGGUUGUAAAGCUCUUUCACCGGUGAAGAUAAUGACGGUAACCGGAGAAGAAGCCCCGGCUAACUUCGUGCCAGCAGCCGCGGUAAUACGAAGGGGGCUAGCGUUGUUCGGAUUUACUGGGCGUAAAGCGCACGUAGGCGGACUAUUAAGUCAGGGGUGAAAUCCCGGGGCUCAACCCCGGAACUGCCUUUGAUACUGGUAGUCUUGAGUUCGAGAGAGGUGAGUGGAAUUCCGAGUGUAGAGGUGAAAUUCGUAGAUAUUCGGAGGAACACCAGUGGCGAAGGCGGCUCACUGGCUCGAUACUGACGCUGAGGUGCGAAAGCGUGGGGAGCAAACAGGAUUAGAUACCCUAGUAGUCCCAUG